rnacentral:rRNA from 1 species
GUCCACGCUGUAAACGAUGGGCACUAGAUGCUGCGGGUAUUGACCCCUGCGGUGUCGUAGUUAACGCGUUAAGUGCCCGCCUGGGAGUACGGUCGCAAGAUUAAACUCAAAGGAAUUGACGGGCCCGCACAAGCGGUGGAGCAUGUGGUUUAAUUCGACGCAACGCGAAGAACCUUACCUGGGUUAGACAACAGUGGACAUCCUCAGAGAUGAGGCUUUCCCUUCGGGGACCGCUGGUUCAGGUGCUGCAUGGCUGUCGU